UUGUUAACAUUCCUUAGGAGUCACGUGAGGCACCGACGCACGUCAGCACUGCACAUAGUCUAGGCGGGGCUUCCUCCAUUUACAACACCCCGCUCAGCGACCCCGCCGCCGCCGCCGCCGCCGCCGCGCCGCUGUGGAAAAGCCAGGCCGGGCCGGGGUGGACUGUGCUGCCGCUGCUGCUGCUGCUACUGCCGCCCGGGCCUGAGACCCAGCACAGAUCACAAACCUGACCAGGGCUGCACCAUUUCAGCUUCAGUUCCUUUAAAAGAUUUUUCUACUUGUAUAUGUGGUCCUGCUCCUGCCACCUUGGGAAAGGGUCAGCAUGCUGGUGGGGAAGCCUCCCUUGCUGUGGAGUUCUGCUCAGAUAUUGGAGAUGUCACACCAGAGUUGACAGCGUUCCAGUUAAACAUGGUAAAU